UAUUGAUGAUGACAAAACCAAAGGCUUGUUUCUCAAAACAUUCGCAGUGGCCGCCUAAGAGCUUUCGCCUUUUGCAGGGCUUGAGAGCUUGUGCUGCUUAAUUCUUCCUUGGAUGUCUGAAAUU